ensembl:lncRNA
AUGUUACAACUUUUUGAUAAAGCUCUAAUUGGUUUUCUUUUGGAAAUAUGUUUCGAAUUCAUACUGAGUGCAUUUAUGACUGUAAAGCAUGUCUGUGUGUAUCAAAAUCGAAAUCGCAAAAUUGAUCAAAGAAAUCGCGAUAGGUUUUUUUUGUCCAUAUCGCACAGCCCUACUACCAACCUCAGUGUUUAUCAGUCUCUCCUCUCUUCCUUCUCUGCAAAUGUCUUCACACUGCUAAAACAUCAUACUACCACAACAAAAUUAACAACUGACUCUCGCACACUUUUCAAAACUUUCUCUUCUCUUCUUAGUCUACCUCCACCUCCUCCUUCAUCGACUCUUACAGCCAACGACUUUGCAGUUUUCUUCACAAAUAAGACAAAAACCGUCGGUGACCAAUUCUCCACACCGCAGACUGAUGAUAACUUCAUAACGACUAAUACACACUCUCUCUCCUCCUUCUUUCCCCUCUCAGAGAUGGACGUUUCCAAACUUAUCCUGUCCAGUCAUCCUACUCCUUGUCCACAUGAUCCUAUCCCCACUCACCUCCUUCAAGCGAUUUCUUCUUCAGUCAAACCUUCACUUACUCACAUUAUCAACACCUCUCUUCACUCUGGUACAUUUCCCUCAGCAUUUAAGCAGGCUUGGGUAAGCCCACUGCUUAAGAAACCAUCUCUAAAUCCAGCACUUCUAGAAAACAAAACUACAAUCCCUUCUUCCAUUCAUUGCAAAGACACUUUAGCGAGUUCAACCAACUUUCUAUGUUUCUUGUACAGAACAACCUCCUGGACAGCAACCAAUCUGGCUUCAAAAGCGGCCACUCACCUGAGACUGCCCUGCUCUCGGUUACUGAAGCCCUGCGACUGGCAAGAGCAGCUUCCAAAUCCUUGGUUCUCAUCUUGCUGGAUCGGUCUGCUGCUUUUGACACAGUUAAUCACCAGAUUCUCCUGUCCACCCUCAGAAAGAUGGGCAUCUCUGGAACCGCACUCCUGUGGUUUAAGUCCUACCUCUCAGAUAGAUCCUUCAGGGUGUCUUGGAGGGGUGAAGUCCAACCAGAUGAUCCGACAGUAG